GUUAUGCUCUCCCUAACCCCCAACCGUCAAGACUACUCUGCCUUUCCAUCCAAGACUCUUUCUGGAGGAAUGAGUGUUUUACCACAUGAUUGAACUUUCCCACGCCCUCCACAGAGGUUUCCUCACCCUUGAACUGAGAUCUAGAAUCCAGAUGUCUCGUCUCCAACAAGUUCAUCAACCGCAUGUUUUACAUCAAUAAAAAAAUGGCAAUAAAGCAAGAAUUUGCAGAUGGUGACGUCUUGGAAGUUUCUGUGGCACCUCUGGGCGUGGGUCCUGAAGAGUCACCUCAGAAAGACAAGGGACAUCUGCAGCUGCACAGUUCACCCGAGAAAGCAAAUGUGCUCAAGCCAUAAAUGGCUGAAGUCACAGGGACAUGGACCGUCUCCCUGCCCCUCCGCGACAUGUAGGAGAGCCCACAAGAACAGCAUGUUAUGUGACCAUGACCGGUGAAUCCUGAACCCCGAAGUGUAGACGCUGAAGCAAAUCUGAAUCCAUCCAUGCCCAGCCAAGACUCGUCACUGCUGCCAACCUGCAGAUGUGCCAGCAUGCAAUUCACCUGUGCUGUUAAAAGUGUCUCAUGCUUUGAGGUUGUCUGUUACCAAUAAUAUUGAAACAUAAAGACAAA